GACGUAGGGGGCAAGCGUUGUCCGGAAUCAUUGGGCGUAAAGAGCGUGUAGGUGGCUCGGUAAGUCCGCUGUGAAAGUCCAGGGCUCAACCCUGGAAAGCCGGUGGAAACUGUCGAGCUCGAGUCCGGAAGAGGCGAGUGGAAUCCCUGGUGUAGCGGUGAAAUGCGCAGAUAUCAGGAGGAACACCAAUGGCGAAGGCAGCUCGCUGGGACGGUACUGACACUGAGACGCGAAAGCGUGGGGAGCAAACAGG
rnacentral:rRNA from 1 species